CGCGUAGGCGGCCAUCUAAGUCAGACGUGAAAUCCCUCGGCUCAACCGAGGAACUGCGUCUGAUACUGGAAGGCUUGAAUCCGGGAGAGGGAUGUGGAAUUCCAGGUGUAGCGGUGAAAUGCGUAGAUAUCUGGAGGAACACCGGUGGCGAAGGCGGCAUCCUGGACCGGUAUUGACGCUGAGGCGCGAAAGCUAGGGGAGCAAACG
rnacentral:rRNA from 1 species